rnacentral:rRNA from 1 species
CCUACGGGUGGCAGCAGUGGGGAAUAUUGCACAAUGGGCGAAAGCCUGAUGCAGCAACGCCGCGUGAAGGAAGAAGGGUUUCGGCUCGUAAACUUCUAUCAACAGGGACGAAAGAAAUGACGGUACCUGAAUAAGAAGCCCCGGCUAACUACGUGCCAGCAGCCGCGGUAAUACGUAGGGGGCAAGCGUUAUCCGGAAUUACUGGGUGUAAAGGGUGAGUAGGCGGCAUGGUAAGCCAGAUGUGAAAGCCUUGGGCUUAACCCGAGGAUUGCAUUUGGAACUGUUGGUCUUGAGUAUCGGAGAGGCAGGCGGAAUUCCUAGUGUAGCGGUGAAAUGCGUAGAUAUUAGGAGGAACACCAGUGGCGAAGGCGGCCUGCUGGACGACAACUGACGGUGAGGCGCGAAAGCGUGGGGAGCAAACAGGAUUAGAUACCCUUGUAGUC